rnacentral:rRNA from 1 species
UACGUAGGGUGCAAGCGUUAAUCGGAAUACUGGGCGUAAAGCGUGCGCAGGCGGUGAUGUAAGACAGAUGUGAAAUCCCCGGGCUCAACCUGGGAACUGCAUUUGUGACUGCAUCGCUGGAGUACGGCAGAGGGGGAUGGAAUUCCGCGUGUAGCAGUGAAAUGCGUAGAUAUGCGGAGGAACACCGAUGGCGAAGGCAAUCCCCUGGGCCUGUACUGACGCUCAUGCACGAAAGCGUGGGAG